GAACCAGAGGAAGGCUCAGAUGUUGCAGUCAUCAUUUCUCUGGCUGUAGUGCUGGUUCUAGUUCUUGUCUUUACCAUCCCUGCAUUUGUCAUCUAUAAGAGGAGACACAGAGUCAUUUGUAGUUUCCUAGACCACCCUGAGAAUUGACUCUGCAUCCUGGCUGCUUGCUAAAGUUUCAGAGUCAGAAGACACAGCUUCACGCUCCUCUAUCUUCAUGCCACAAGUGCAGGCUAUUAUCUGUACAUCAACAUAUAGGCAACAGCACCUCUUUUUCUAUUUCACCUGUCAGGUUCAUAUUUCUUAUGCUGUAUACAUAUUUUAAUAUAUAAUAAUAUAAAUUAAGGAUAGAUAUAGGAAGGAUGUGAGAGUGAGAGUGUGGGUGUGAGAGUGAGAGUGAAAAAGGGAGGGAGGUGACCAAGAACCCAACGGCCACUCUUACAGAGCAUCGGAAGUGGAGAUGGGAGAACCUGCCAGAAGAUUGACCUUCUUAGCAGCACUCCAGGCCUUUAUAAUAGAGUGGCUAGGCAUACUUUACAAAGCAGCUGAGGUCUGAGAGAAUGAGGACAUAUUCUCUGGUGUGAGACAAAAAUAGAAAUUCUUGGGCAGAACAUCAAAGGGGCUUCUACAAAGUACUGAAUUAAGGGUCUGAAUACUUAUAUAAAUGAUUUCAGUUUUAGAUUUUUAAUACAUUUGCUAAAAUUUCUUGAAACAUGUUUCACUUUGUAUUCAUGGGCUAUUGUGUGUAGAAUUGUAGAAUCUCUCCCCACCUUCAAGCGCACACUGAAGAUGCACCUCUUCAAGCAGCACCUCUCCCCGUCCCUCCCUACCUCCCUGUGAACCUUAAUUGUUGUCUUUGUGAUUUACUUUGUGUAUCGGUAUUUUUAGUUGGCUAGGUAAGCAGUGUUUGGAUAGUUAAGUUUGGUCACUUUUGCUUUGUUUGUUUGUUUAUUUGUUUGUUCAAAAAAAUUAAAAUUAAAAUUCAAAUAGG